UACUAUAGUGUCCAGUGUCAAUGAAUAUAUUAAUAAUAAAUCUAACAUGGAGGACACUGUCAAAAGUGAGCAUGAUUGCAGACAACUGGUGAAGGACUUAAGGAAACAAUUGGUUGAAGU